AAAAAUCAAUUGUCUUUGUAGAAUUUACAGCUUCAGACCGUGCUGUGUUGGAGAAAAAUGGGACGAGAGUCUUCAAAAAUGUAGUAAGUGCCCUGCUGGACAUUAUGGCGUUAACUGUAGUCUAACAUGUGACAUCCCAUACUACGGAUAUCGCUGCUCGAGUGGGAAAUGUGCAUGCAAUCGAAUAUCUUGUCAAAUAUCAACAGCAUGCCACACAAUGACAG